GCAGAGUAGGCGGUGGAGCGUCAAGUGCCCGGUGGACAGGGAGUUGUCAUCGGGACGAAAAGGAAAAGCAGAUUCUGCUAUUCCUUGCGGUUCCGCUGCCGCAUCCCGCUGC
rnacentral:ncRNA from 1 species